GCGCGGGUGUUGUAACGGUAGCCAAGCUGCCUUGAGGUGGCAGUGCCCGCAAGGGCGUGGAGGUUCAAAUCCUCUCCCGCGCACCA
rnacentral:tRNA from 1 species